rnacentral:misc_RNA from 1 species
UAAUAAUAAUAAUAAAUUUGUGGACCGUUUCUGGUUGGAAGUGGCGCUCUUUGGUUUAGUUGCGACCCGUACCGCGCGAGACCGACGCAGUCUCCAGCGGCCCCGAUUCUGGAUGGUCGAUGACAAACCCACCUCCACCGCCCUCACCACCAUCACUGCCGCGAACAGUUAACAAAAAUCCGCAGAACAGCUGAAACGAGAAAACGCCUUUUUUGUUCCCACCACGUCUCGGCCGUUUUCGUCUCGCGAGGAAGAAGAGGCCAGAAGAAGAAGAACGAGGAGGAGGACCGUUACCGACCCGCUCAGGAGUAUUUGUCACAAUUUGAUGAGAAUUUCGCUUGAGCCGAAAGCCCCGAGAUACUUAAUGACGUCGUUUAUUUAAACGCUUCUCGACCGCAUUCUCCAGAUAAGCAGAUUUCCGACCGACCUCAACGUCGACAAUGGACAAAAGGAAAUUAUCAACAUCAGGGGAUUCUCUUUACCUCAUCCUCGGCCUACCGAAGACGGCCUCACCUGAGGAUAUAAAAAAGACUUAUCGAAAACUUGCCCUCAAAUACCAUCCAGACAAAAACCCUGACAAUGUCGAAGCGGCAGAAAUGUUCAAAGAUGUUAACAGGGCCCAUUCCAUCCUUAGUGAUAUGACCAAGAGGAACAUUUACGACAACUAUGGCUCUCUUGGAUUGUAUAUUGCUGAACAGUUUGGCGAGGACAACGUCAACGCUUACUUCUUAGUUACAUCAAAAUGGUGCAAGUUACUUAUCGUCUUGUGUGGAUUAGUCACCGUAUGUUAUUGCGGCUGUUGCUGCUUUUGUUGCUGCUGCAACUUCUGCUGCGGGAAGUGUAAGCCACGGUCUCCAGAAGACAGUGGGAACUACCACACGUUACAUAGGGAGGGAAACAAUGCAGGAGACCCGGUGACUGCACAGCCUACCAAGCAUUCGAACCAGAAUAAAACAGUUAAAGAUGGCAGUAAUAGCCCUGAUAGCCUCGAAAUCCACACAAUGAACACAUACAUGUAACUCGGAGAUUUAACGGCAGCCCAAGAUUAAAGUGUAUCAUUUGGAUUCAGACGAUGAGGGAGCUUGUGGCGACACAGUGACCUCCCAGCCAACUUCAGGAAAUGCCCAGAAUUUUAACGCCACCCACGAGCCGAGCGAAAACACCUCCCUGAAGACUUCAGAUCAGGUCACCUACACAACAGUGCCCUUUUCUAGCACUGAUGCGAAGCUCAUUGACUUUGAAGAUUUUCACUGAACAAAAUGAGUCAUGAACUGAGUUUCACUGUUUGACAACCCCUGUCUUAUUUGUCUCCUUCCUAUUUUAGCUCUCAGAAAAAAAUUAUUACUCUCA